ensembl:lncRNA
UCCUUUGCAGGCUCGGCACCAGGCUCUUUCAGAGGCCAUCGCUUUCUCCAAAUAAUUGUCGGCAAGCCCUACUGAAAGUGCCCUGCUUGUACUGUGCAAGACCACCAGAUGUGAAAUAGCCGUGACCGGUCAGCCCAGAAGGAAAAGACAAUUCGCUGGAGAAUGUCGAGAAGUUGCAAGGACAGCCAUUUAACAGGGGAGGUGGGAUGAAGGUUGCCAACAUAGCAGGCAAGCACAGAGUAGUGACACUGUGAGACACCUAGAACAACCUCAUCAAUAGAAAUAAGCCACUUAACCAACCCUCCCGCGUGGAUCAAUUCGCGUCGCUGCCUCAAGCCAGUAUCAUCAAAGAAACUAUGUGAAUACUACAAGAAAGAAAAACCGAGACCUUUGACUUCAAAGUCUACUGUCAAUCACAUGCAUCAGCAUGCAUCUGAUACACUUACCAUGGAUGUUGGCACACCUUUUGGCUGUCACCUAAACAUGAGGUUACUUCUGUAGGAAAAAGGAUACCUGGUUCAGGAAAACAACUUAGAUGAAGUUGAGCAGCCUUCUUAAGCAGCUGCUCGGAGAGAGUACCACACCUAUAGUAAUAAGUGGCUGUAUCUAAGCAAAUUCCAGGUUUAUUAACAAUGCAGAGAAAAAAAGAAAAAAAAAAAGAAAAAAAAAGUCUGCCCUACUAUAAAUGUGAACAUCCAUAUAUUUAGUUUUAUCAGUGGUCCAACUAGACCAAUCUCAUAGCACACAGCAUGUAUUUCCUUCCCAUAAGGCUAGGUCAGCGGUGGAUGCCUAGAAAACCAGGCCUCCCAAUGCAAUCAGGACAAUGUGACAGAAGAGUACACAAAGAUUGUUUGCACUGAGUGGCUUGAUGCUAUAUAGAUAAGCCACAUAUUGAAAAGAUGUUUGAAUAUUACUCUAUCUGCCUCAAUCCUACCACUUAGCUGCUCUUUCAAAAGUCAACUCCCUCACCUCUAGCAACAAAGGACAUUCCCUUUCCCCAAGCUGGCAGAAAUGUUAGGAGCUUGUCUUUGCUGAGCGUUGUUCAAUGCAUAUUUCAUAGACAUAUCUGAGAAAGGGAUGAUCAGCAGUGAUGCAGUGUUCUAGACUAAGUCAAACAUAUAACAAGUUUUGGCAACUGUUGUCUUGUUCAAGUGAUGACUGUUAAGUACUUCAGGGAAUGUAAAAGUCCAGUGUGAAAGAGGAACUGAUGGAAAUGGCUGAUGUAUCUGAAAAUUCUGCUCACACAUUGCUGGCACUGGAGAUUCACUGCCUACGAGGCCAGAAACAGCCAUGGUGGUCACUAAGUCUGAA